AACUCAUGGAAAAUACAUUUAUUCCAUACUCAAAAGAUACUAAAACUAAUCAACAUCAAUUAGUUAUUUAAUUCAAUUAAUCAAAACUAAUUAAGCAUACUUUAUUACCAAAAUAUAAGCAAACACCAAUAACCAAGCAUCAUCUCAUAAAACAAACUCCGAAAUCGGAAUCUACACGAAAAACUGAGCAAAAUAGGUUCCGGGUACAUAAAUCAACAAAAGGGGUUGUGUCGGCCAGCUACAGUAGCAUCAGACGUGUACUGUUCAUCAUGCAGAAUUCUGCAGGUUUCGGCUGUUACUGUACAAGCCGAAACUGGAGCUACAAGCAUCCGAUUAAAACACGUAAGAAUGCGUUGGAAAGCUAAGAAAAAGGGCUACAACAUUCAUGUUUACGACAAGAACCAAUUCAGAGCACAAAGGGAUCAAAAAUAGCAUUCUUGCUUCAGAUUUUAUAAACAAAAAUAGUAUUCCUUAUACUUCAAAAAUCCAAUCUUUGAUUUUUCAAAAAACAAGUUAAAUUCCAUUAAACCCAAAGUUACUCUAAUCAUCACUUAUCAUGUUUGAACCUUAACAAACAUCAUUCCAUCAAUAGUUCAACACCAAGCAUACAAGAUUCAUUCAUAAAAAUUCAUGAUAAUCACAUAAACCCAUUUUNNNNNNNNNNNNNNNNNNUAUCAACAAGUAGGAAUUUCAUCAGAUUUAUCAAUUUGGUAAAGCACCCAAAUAAUAACAACAACACAUAAAACACCAAAUUGAAUCAAUACAAACAUGAACAUACAAAUGAAAUCAUGUAACAACAAUUAAAACUCAUAAAUUUCACAUUCCCAUAAUCCCAACCUCAAAACCUAGAAGUGAAAGAGUUUGGGAACGGAGAAGAAUUUCUUCUCCCCUCUUUUUGAACCACCUCUCAUGAAUUUGAUAAACUACUCUCUUACCUGAAGAUUAAAUUGGAGAUGUAAGCUGAAUUCCUCUUCACUUCUCUUCUCUAUCUUACAUGGUUUUCUUCUCUUCUUUCCUUUUCUUCCUCUCUUUCUCGUGCUCUUCUUUCUUUCUUUCUUUCUUUCUACCUUUUCUUCAAGAUUUUAUGUCAAAAAGGUUUCUAUCCUUAGAGUUAUCUUAAUAUCAAGGGUUUACUAUCUUUUUCCGAUUAACACCCCUCAUUCCACUCAUCUCACCACUUAACUCCCAUUAUUUAAUCUAACUCAUUCUCUAAUUACUCUAAUUACUAACUUAAGUCUAAAACUCAAAAAUAAGCAAAUAUUUAAUUUACGAAAAUUACGCGCCACAAAUAAUUAAAUAAAUAAUCCUAAUAAAUAAAAAUAGCAUGUUAC
rnacentral:lncRNA from 1 species